rnacentral:rRNA from 1 species
GACGAACGCUGGCGGCGUGCUUAACACAUGCAAGUCGAACGGUAAGGCCCUUCGGGGUACACGAGUGGCGAACGGGUGAGUAACACGUGGGUGAUCUGCCCUGCACUUCGGGAUAAGCCUGGGAAACUGGGUCUAAUACCGGAUAGGACUCCGGACUGCAUGGCCUGGGGUGGGAAGCUUUUGCGGUGUGGGAUGGGCCCGCGGCCUAUCAGCUUGUUGGUGGGGGGAUGGCCGACCAAGGCGACGACGGGUAGCCGGCCUGAGAGGGUGACCGGCCACACUGGGACUGAGAUACGGCCCAGACUCCUACGGGAGGCAGCAGUGGGGAAUAUUGCACAAUGGGCGCAAGCCUGAUGCAGCGACGCCGCGUGAGGGAUGACGGCCUUCGGGUUGUAAACCUCUUUCAGCACAGACGAAGCGCAAGUGACGGUAUGUGCAGAAGAAGGACCGGCCAACUACGUGCCAGCAGCCGCCGUAA